rnacentral:ncRNA from 2 species
GAGCGGCCACCAGAUGUAUGCUCGACCUCGCUGUCGACGCAGGGGAAUCCGGUGCGAAUCCGGAACUGUCCCGCAACGGUGUGCUGCGGCGUGCUUUGUCGCGCCCAGGAGUCCGAACACCUGCCGACGGCGCGUCCGGUUC